GGACUCGUGCCUGAAGUAAAGGAUUACUUUGAUAGAGUAAAUUAUGGGGGUUCAAACCCCUCCGAUUCCU
rnacentral:tRNA from 6 species